CAGCAGCCACGGUAAUACAGAGGGUGCGAGCGUUAAUCGGAUUUACUGGGCGUAAAGCGUGCGUAGGCGGCUUUUUAAGUCGGAUGUGAAAUCCCUGAGCUUAACUUAGGAAUUGCAUUCGAUACUGGGAAGCUAGAGUAUGGGAGAGGAUGGUAGAAUUCCAGGUGUAGCGGUGAAAUGCGUAGAGAUCUGGAGGAAUACCGAUGGCGAAGGCAGCCAUCUGGCCUAAUACUGACGCUGAGGUACGAAAGCAUGGGGAGCAAACAGGAUUAGAGACCCCGUAGUCCCUGUCUCUUAUACC
rnacentral:rRNA from 1 species